UACGGGCGGAGCGAGCAUUAUUCGGAAUGAUUAGGCGUAAAGGGUUUGUAGGUGGUUUUUUAAGUUGAAAACAACAGAUUAAAGCUCAACUUUAUAAAUUUUUUCAAAACUGAAAAACUUGAGUAUAAAUAGAGGAUAAUGGAAUUUACGGUGUAGCAGUGAAAUGCGUAGAUAUCGUAAGGAAGACCAGUGGCGAAGGCGAGUCUCUGGACAGUUACUGACGCUGAGGCACGAAGGCUAGGGGAGCAAACGGG
rnacentral:rRNA from 1 species